AGGCAGCAGUGGGGAAUAUUGCACAAUGGGCGCAAGCCUGAUGCAGCAACGCCGCGUGAGGGACGAAGGCCUUCGGGUUGUAAACCUCUUUUAGUAGGGAAGAAGCGACUGGGUUUUCCUGGGAGUGACGGUACCUGCAGAAAAAGCACCGGCUAACUACGUGCCAGCAGCCGCGGUAAUACGUAGGGUGCAAGCGUUGUCCGGAAUUAUUGGGCGUAAAGAGCUCGUAGGCGGUUUGUCGCGUCUGCUGUGAAAACCCGAGGCUCAACCUCGGGCCUGCAGUGGGUACGGGCAGACUAGAGUGCGGUAGGGGAGAUUGGAAUUCCUGGUGUAGCGGUGGAAUGCGCAGAUAUCAGGAGGAACACCAAUGGCGAAGGCAGAUCUCUGGGCCGUAACUGACGCUGAGGAGCGAAAGCAUGGGGAGCGAACAGGAUUAGAUACCCUGGUAGUCCAUGCCGUAAACGUUGGGAACUAGAUGUGGGGACCAUUCCACGGUCUCCGUGUCGCAGCUAACGCAUUAAGUUCCCCGCCUGGGGAGUACGGCCGCAAGGCUAAAACUCAAAGGAAUUGACGGGGGCCCGCACAAGCGGCGGAGCAUGCGGAUUAAUUCGAUGCAACGCGAAGAACCUUACCAAGGCUUGACAUAUACCGGAAACGGCUGGAAACAGUCGCCCCGCAAGGUCGGUAUACAGGUGGUGCAUGGUUGUCGUCAGCUCGUGUCGUGAGAUGUUGGGUUAAGUCCCGCAACGAGCGCAACYCUCGUCCUAUGUUGCCAGCACGUAAUGGUGGGAACUCAU
rnacentral:rRNA from 1 species